rnacentral:rRNA from 1 species
UACGUAGGGUGCAAGCGUUGUCCGGAAUUAUUGGGCGUAAAGAGCUCGUAGGUGGUCUGUCGCGUCGGCUGUGAAAACUCGGGGCUCAACCUCGAGACGUCGGUUGAAACCACCUGGCUAGAGUCCGGAAGAGGAGAGUGGAAUUCCUGGUGUAGCGGUGAAAUGCGCAGAUAUCAGGAAGAACACCCGUGGCGAAGGCGGCUCUCUGGGACGGUACUGACGCUGAGACGCGAAAGCGUGGGGAGCGAACAGG